UCUCCCUACGGGGCGCAGCAGUGGGGGAUAUUGCACAAUGGGGGAAACCCUGAUGCAGUGACGCCGCGUGGGCGAAGAAGUAUUUCGGUAUGUAAAGCCCUAUCAGCAGGGAAGAAGAAAUGACGGUACCUGAGUAAGAAGCACCGGCUAAAUACGUGCCAGCAGCCGCGGUAAUACGUAUGGUGCAAGCGUUAUCCGGAUUUACUGGGCGUAAAGGGAGCGCAGGCGGCACGGCAGGCCUGAUGUGAAAGCCCGCGGCCCAACCGCGGGACUGCCUUGGGAACUACCGGGCUGGAGGGCCGGAG
rnacentral:rRNA from 1 species